rnacentral:rRNA from 1 species
UACAGAGGGUGCGAGCGUUGUUCGGAAUUAUUGGGCGUAAAGGGCGCGUAGGCGGCGCCACAAGUCACUUGUGAAAACUCUGGGCUCAACUCAGAGCCUGCAAGCGAAACUGUGGUGCUGGAGUAUGGGAGAGGUGCGUGGAAUUCCCGGUGUAGCGGUGAAAUGCGUAGAUAUCGGGAGGAACAUCGAUGGCGAAGGCAGCCCCUUGGACCUGUACUGACGCUCAUGCACGAAAGCGUGGGGAGCAAACAGG